rnacentral:rRNA from 1 species
CCUACGGGCGGCAGCAGUGAGGAAUAUUGGUCAAUGGCCGGAAGGCUGAACCAGCCAUGCCGCGUGAAGGUCAGUGCCCUAUGGGCGUUAAACUUCUUUUGUGCGGGAGCAAUAAUGGUCACGUGUGGCCAGACGAGAGUACCGUACGAAUAAGCAUCGGCUCACUCCGUGCCAGCAGCCGCGGUAAUACGGGGGAUGCAAGCGUUAUCCGGAUUUAUUGGGUUUAAAGGGUGCGUAGGCUGUGAGGUAAGUCAGCGGUGAAAUGCCCCCGCUCAACGGGGUGAAGUGCCAUUGAUACUGCCUGGCUGGAAUGCGGAUGCCGUGGGAGGAAUGUGUGGUGUAGCGGUGAAAUGCAUAGAUAUCACACAGAACACCGAUUGCGAAGGCAUCUCACGAAGCCGCGAUUGACGCUGAUGCACGAAAGCGUGGGUAUCAAACAGGAUUAGAUACCCUUGUAGUC